UACGUAGGGUGCAAGCGUUGUCUGGAAUUAUUGGGCGUAAAGAGCUCGUAGGCGGUCUGUCGCGUCGGCUGUGAAAACCCGGGGCUCAACUCCGGGCCUGCAGCCGAUACGGGCAGACUAGAGUUCGGCAGGGGAGACUGGAAUUCCUGGUGUAGCGGUGAAAUGCGCAGAUAUCAGGAGGAACACCGGUGGCGAAGGCGGGUCUCUGGGCCGAUACUGACGCUGAGGAGCGAAAGCGUGGGGAGCGAACAGG
rnacentral:rRNA from 1 species